GGUAAUACGGAGGGUGCAAGCGUUAAUCGGAAUUACUGGGCGUAAAGCGCACGCAGGCGGUUUGUUAAGUCAGAUGUGAAAUCCCCGGGCUCAACCUGGGAACUGCAUUUGAAACUGGCAAGCUAGAGUCUCGUAGAGGGGGGUAGAAUUCCAGGUGUAGCGGUGAAAUGCGUAGAGAUCUGGAGGAAUACCGGUGGCGAAGGCGGCCCCCUGGACGAAGACUGACGCUCAGGUGCGAAAGCGUGGGGAGCAAACAGGAUUAGAUACCCUGGUAGUCCACGCUGUAAACGAUGUCGAUUUGGAGGUUGUGCCCUUGAGGCGUGGCUUCCGGAGCUAACGCGUUAAAUCGACCGCCUGGGGAGUACGGCCGCAAGGUUAAAACUCAAAUGAAUUGACGGGGGCCCGCACAAGCGGUGGAGCAUGUGGUUUAAUUCGAUGCAACGCGAAGAACCUUACCUACUCUUGACAUCCAGA
rnacentral:rRNA from 1 species